AGCGGCAUGGGCUUCGGGCACACAUCGUUGGCCUGCACUGCCGCCUUCGCAGACCCACGUUUCUCUCCCCGCUUUGUCUGGUUUCCUCCAGAAAAAAGAAACAAUUCAUUUACACCUCGGACUAGAUUCGUUUGGCAGCCGGAGAUUUGCAACAAAAAAAAGGGAGACGAAGAGGAUAAGGUGAAAUCGGCGGCACCGCUGCCGCCGCUACAGGGCACGAGCAUGGAGGCGGCCGGGAUGGUGUGGUGCCGCCGCCGCUACGGGACACGAGCACGGAGGCGGCUGGAAUAGUGCGGUUAGGGAGUUGGGAGAGAAACAGGGGGGGGGGGGGGGGGGGGGGGGGGGGGGGGGGGGGGGGGGACGAUGGCGGCCUGAGGGGCGGCGCUGGGCGCCAUGGGGUUCAACAUCUCGCCGGCCUUGACUCGCGCACGUCCCGUUUCGCUCAGAGCACAUCCUGCCUCAGCAGCCACACCUCUCCCUCCAAGCACAGAGCUUGCUGCCCCACCCCCGUACAAUGAACGAGCAUGCCAAGGAGAGGAGCUCCAUGUGUAUGGGAGACCAGCCGCUCCCCAAUCUUCAGAUCUGACCAACGUGGGAGGAAUUGUUGGAGAACAACCAAAUCCAAACGCCUCACCGGUGAGCACCAUCAUUGCCUGAAGCUUGGAGAGUAUUACGAAUUGCUUGCUAUUCAUUAUUGCCUGAAGCGAGAGAACAAUUUAGUUAUUUCUCCGAGUAUAAUGUUUGUGACUAACACCUAUUUAUCAACACAUGGGAUGACCAUGUCGUGGGUGAAGAAGUUUGCGUGGGUGAAGAAGUUUGCAAUGGAUCAACCUUGAAGACACUCGGAACAUUUACUUCGAGUGAAGACUCUCGCGGCGCAAUUGCCACUGCCCCGACCUCGCCGAUUGUUUACCUCGCUGGCUUGACAGCGGCCUUUGUGAUUUUGAACAUAUGUGCUACUCUCCUGGACACCAUCGACUCAGGUCCUACUCUCCCGGACGCCGCCAACUCAGGUUAUAUCUACAUGUAGCGUUGGAGAAUAUUAUGCUGAAUGGGCCAUAUCGGUCUUUUUCUGCACGCAUUAUUAUAUCCUCUUCUUAUCUCCCCCGCUUGUGCCACCGGAGAAUAUCAAGGAUGUGGCGUCGGCACUGAGCCGCCACUGGUAGGCAAGGGCAUGUGGCCUGGCCAUGAACGAUGAGAUUGGGGUCGGCACACACCAAAGCGACACACAGAGGUAGAGUUCUAUAAAAAAAAAGAAAUCCAUCUAAUUCUACUUGACAACCUUCCAACACGAGGUAACAUCAUUUGUGGCAUGGGUAUAUCUUAUAUCUACUAAAUAUCACUUCUAGAUAUUGGUGUUACGUACCAAGUGCAUCUAUAUUGCCAAUGCUUCUGCGCUUUUGAUAAUUAGUCAAUAUUUUCAUGUAUUUGUUACAACAGUAUGGUGUUAGCAAGCGUAUUGUCUUGUGAAAAAUUGGUGAUUGCAUCUGCACUUCGUAUCUAAUUGUGUUAUUUCAGAGCUAAUAUUUUUACUAAUUAUUCUAUUCUUUCCACUUCUUGUAUAAACAGACCAGGACCAGUAUUCUGAACCUCAUACCAUUAAGAUAAUCAGCUAAGUUUUUUUAUAGAUGCACUAACUGAUUGCUAAUUUCAGCUUUGUUCUUCAUUACUGCAGGGCAUAUCUGUAUUCUAAAGAAAAUUCGUACACCUGGUAAUUCUUUCUUGACAUGGCUAUUCCAUCGAGGUUUAAUCCUAUGAUACACAACUAAUAGUUUGUUGGUAUGCAUAACUAUCUUGCCAAAGGUUUUGCCUCACUUUGUAGUUGAAAGUGUUUGCUGCAAUCAUUAUGAGCAUCAUGUUUGCCUUUUUGUGGAAAAAUAGUGUAGAACUCUUCUUGCUACUAUCAUCAACUCUCAACGAGUUAGUGAUGGACAGGAUUAUUAUUCAUGUAUUUGAACAAUUGAUUCAGGGUCUAUUCAUAGAUGCGUUAAUUUGUUUUUGCAUGACUCCUUUCUUCCAUCAAUGUUUUUACAUCCAAAUGAACUGCACUAAAUAAAUGAUUAUCCACGGUUAUCAGGGAGGGAGGGAGAGGGAGAGCGAGAUGGAGAGAUAGAUAGAGAGAGAGAACGCAUUUAAUAUUUGAUAGCUUCCCUUACUAAAUCACCUCUCUGAUGGAGCUGCAGUUUUGCAUGUUUAAAAUGAAUGAGUAUGUAAAGAUUAGCGACAUUUUCUUACAAGCACCUGAAAUAUUUGCAUAAAAUGCUUUCCCAGGGCUGGUCAACUCUUUUUAUUUCUGUCAUAGUACACAUGUCUAACACCACAAAUUGCCAUAUGGUUUUCAACGGUACAUGAGCUAUGAGUUGCCCUAUUAUUUUAAGAGUUCAUAAGUUGGGUUGACUGUGAGACUCUAAAUACAUGAUACAUGGUCUUGUACAAUUUAUAUUACUGUCCAUCGAAGUGUUUUAUACUCGGUAUUAAAGUUGCAGGCUAUUCCUUUGAAUGAUCUAAGAAAUAUAUUUGGAUUAGGGAAGCAUGAAGCACAAGCAAUCACCUCAGAUAUUGAAUCUCGAGCAUACAGAAAUAAGCUUAUAAAAUCCUUUAGUACUGAUUUGGCUGCUGCUCCUAACAAAGCAUCAUUCCUCCAAAAUCUCUGUCAGGAGUUACAGUUUGAUCCUGAACUUGCUAGCAAGAUGCAUAAAGAUACCAAGCUGACACUUGUUUUUUGUAUUACAUCAUUAAUUUUACAGCAUAGUUCUAUGUUAGCUCAAAAUUUGAUCUUGCUCCUGCUAGCAAGAUGUGUACCAUAUUAGCUACAGUUUGAAGGAUAUAAUCCUUUUGUUUCAAGACUGAUGGUUAAACAUUCCUCCAAUGUGAAAGUUAUUAUUUUCUGUUCAAA